ensembl:lncRNA
CUGUAUCCGUAACAGUUUGUAAGACUGUCUCCCUCUAUCCCUCUCUCACCCAUAAUCACACUGUGUGUGUGUGUGUCUGUCUGUCUGUCCCCAGGCUGGUGCAGGAGGGUGUGUGCGGAGCCCUGCCAUCUAUGAGCUGUGGUCAGACGUGGGUGAGAGGUCAGGUGUUGGGGUGUGUUGCUCUUUCAGAGCGCCUCCUACUGGUGGGAGUAAAGUAUGACACCGUCACACACACACUCUACACAGAGAUGCUGCAUGAACACCAUGGUGAGACAAACACACACACACAAACACAGUACAUCACAUGUGUAUACGCAGAACAUCCCAUCAUGUUUCUGAUAUCCCAGGGCUGGUUGCCUGGUAGACGCUGUUGCUGUGGGAGGGUGGAGCUAGGUUUGCUAUUGGAGGAAAGUCAGGAGUCAGGUGACAUGCUGAAUCAGUCUGAGCCUUCAAGAUAUACAGGUAACACACACACGCUUAAGGUGGUUAUAGGCUGUGCAUAACAAUUAUACACAAUGAGUUGAUAUAGAGGAGUAAUUUAAUUGAGUGGGAAACCUAUGGAUGAGCCAGUGUGGGUGCAGCAGAUGGCUACCUCUCUGAUCAUGUGAUGACAUGUUUAACAGGCGCAAAUGAGGGCGUGUCUCUGAGGGGCUGUCCUGAUUGGGAGAAACCCAGUGAGGAAUCUUGGUCAGCCAUCUCCCUCCUCACUCGGAUACACACCAGCCUUGAGCACCAGACAAAUACACUCACUGCCCUGGCCAAGAGGCUGGACAGGGAGACCCUGCGGCUGAUGGGUCUGUACACCAGCCUGGCCACCAUCAGUGCUCAGAGGGAGAAACUGUCCCAUGGUGCACUGCUUGCUGGCAGCCAGACAGGACUGGGAGACAUGGUGAGGCCUUCAUGACAACCACAAUGGGAAUAAGUCUCUGACGUGACUGUGUCAAUUUCAUAUAUCUGCCUUGUUUCCAGGCCAAAUGCUCUCUAGCAAACUUAAGAUGGGCCUGGACAUGUACUGGCUUAAGCAGGGGGACACGUCUGGCACUGCAGGAUUUGAGUCCCUGGCGGCGUAGUGUGU